UACGUAGGUGGCAAGCGUUGUCCGGAUUUACUGGGCGUAAAGGGCGUGCAGGCGGUCUGUUAAGUCUAGGGUGAAAGCUCCCGGCUCAACUGGGAGAGGUCCUUGGAUACUGGCGGACUUGAGGGAGGCAGAGGAAAGUGGAAUUCCCGGUGUAGUGGUGAUAUGCGUAGAUAUCGGGAGGAACACCAGUGGCGAAGGCGGCGAUCUGGGAAGAUACUGACGCUGAGGUGCGAAAGCGUGGGGAGCAAACAGG
rnacentral:rRNA from 1 species